rnacentral:rRNA from 1 species
GGUUAAGUUAGAAAGGGCGCACGGUGGAUGCCUUGACACUAGGAGUCGAUGAAGGACGGGACUAACUAACGCCGAUAUGCUUCGGGGAGCUGUAAGUAAGCUUUGAUCCGAAGAUUUCCGAAUGGGGAAACCCACCAUACGUAAUGGUAUGGUAUCCUUAUCUGAAUACAUAGGGUAAGGAAGACAGACCCAGGGAACUGAAACAUCUAAGUACCUGGAGGAAGAGAAAGCAAAUGCGAUUUCCUGAGUAGCGGCGAGCGAAACGGAACAUAGCCCAAACCAAGAGGCUUGCCUCUUGGGGUUGUAGGACAUUCUAUACGGAGUUACAAAGGAACGAGGUAGACGAAGCGACCUGGAAAGGUCCGUCGUAGAGGGUAACAACCCCGUAGUCGAAACUUCGUUCUCUCUUGAAUGUAUCCUGAGUACGGCGGAACACGUGAAAUUCCGUCGGAAUCUGGGAGGACCAUCUCCCAAGGCUAAAUACUCCCUAGUGAUCGAUAGUGAACCAGUACCGUGAGGGAAAGGUGAAAAGCACCCCGGAAGGGGAGUGAAAGAGAUCCUGAAACCGUGUGCCUACAAAUAGUCAGAGCCCGUUAACGGGUGAUGGCGUGCCUUUUGUAGAAUGAACCGGCGAGUUACGAUCCCGUGCGAGGUUAAGCUGAAGAGGCGGAGCCGCAGCGAAAGCGAGUCUGAAUAGGGCGUUUAGUACGUGGUCGUAGACCCGAAACCAGGUGAUCUACCCAUGUCCAGGGUGAAGUUCAGGUAACACUGAAUGGAGGCCCGAACCCACGCACGUUGAAAAGUGCGGGGAUGAGGUGUGGGUAGCGGAGAAAUUCCAAUCGAACCUGGAGAUAGCUGGUUCUCCCCGAAAUAGCUUUAGGGCUAGCCUUAAGUGUAAGAGUCUUGGAGGUAGAGCACUGAUUGGACUAGGGGUCCUCAUCGGAUUACCGAAUUCAGUCAAACUCCGAAUGCCAAUGACUUAUCCUUAGGAGUCAGACUGCGAGUGAUAAGAUCCGUAGUCAAAAGGGAAACAGCCCAGACCGCCAGCUAAGGUCCCAAAGUGUGUAUUAAGUAAAAAAAGGAUGUGGAGUUGCUUAGACAACUAGGAUGUUGGCUUAGAAGCAGCCACCAUUUAAAGAGUGCGUAAUAGCUCACUAGUCGAGUGACUCUGCGCCGAAAAUGUACCGGGGCUAAAUACACCACCGAAGCUGCGGAUUGAUACCGAAUGGUAUCAGUGGUAGGGGAGCGUUCUAAGGACAGUGAAGUCAGACCGUAAGGACUGGUGGAGUGCUUAGAAGUGAGAAUGCCGGUAUGAGUAGCGAAAGACGGGUGAGAAUCCCGUCCACCGAAUGCCUAAGGUUUCCUGAGGAAGGCUCGUCCGCUCAGGGUUAGUCAGGACCUAAGCCGAGGCCGACAGGCGUAGGCGAUGGACAACAGGUUGAUAUUCCUGUACCACCUCUUUAUCGUUUGAGCAAUGGAGGGGGACGCAGAAGGAUAGAAGAAGCGUGCGAUUGGUUGUGCACGUCCAAGCAGUUAGGCUGAUAAGUAGGCAAAUCCGCUUAUCAUAAAGGCUGAGCUGUGAUGGGGAAGCUCCUUAUGGAGCGAAGUCUUUGAUUCCCCGCUGUCAAGAAAAGCUUCUAGCGAGAUAAAAGGUGCCUGUACCGCAAACCGACACAGGUAGGCGAGGAGAGAAUCCUAAGGUGUGCGAGAGAACUCUGGUUAAGGAACUCGGCAAAAUGACCCCGUAACUUCGGGAGAAGGGGUGCUUUCUUAACGGAAAGCCGCAGUGAAUAGGCCCAAGCGACUGUUUAGCAAAAACACAGCUCUCUGCGAAGCCGUAAGGCGAAGUAUAGGGGGUGACACCUGCCCGGUGCUGGAAGGUUAAGGAGAGGGGUUAGCGUAAGCGAAGCUCUGAACUGAAGCCCCAGUAAACGGCGGCCGUAACUAUAACGGUCCUAAGGUAGCGAAAUUCCUUGUCGGGUAAGUUCCGACCCGCACGAAAGGUGUAACGAUUUGGGCACUGUCUCAACCAGAGACUCGGUGAAAUUAUAGUACCUGUGAAGAUGCAGGUUACCCGCGACAGGACGGAAAGACCCCGUGGAGCUUUACUGUAGCCUGAUAUUGAAUUUUGGUACAGUUUGUACAGGAUAGGCGGGAGCCAUUGAAACCGGAGCGCUAGCUUCGGUGGAGGCGCUGGUGGGAUACCGCCCUGACUGUAUUGAAAUUCUAACCUACGGGUCUUAUCGACCCGGGAGACAGUGUCAGGUGGGCAGUUUGACUGGGGCGGUCGCCUCCUAAAGUGUAACGGAGGCGCCCAAAGGUUCCCUCAGAAUGGUUGGAAAUCAUUCGUAGAGUGCAAAGGCAUAAGGGAGCUUGACUGCGAGACCUACAAGUCGAGCAGGGACGAAAGUCGGGCUUAGUGAUCCGGUGGUUCCGCAUGGAAGGGCCAUCGCUCAACGGAUAAAAGCUACCCCGGGGAUAACAGGCUUAUCUCCCCCAAGAGUCCACAUCGACGGGGAGGUUUGGCACCUCGAUGUCGGCUCAUCGCAUCCUGGGGCUGUAGUCGGUCCCAAGGGUUGGGCUGUUCGCCCAUUAAAGCGGUACGCGAGCUGGGUUCAGAACGUCGUGAGACAGUUCGGUCCCUAUCCGUCGUGGGCGUAGGAAAUUUGAGAGGAGCUGUCCUUAGUACGAGAGGACCGGGAUGGACGCACCGCUGGUGUACCAGUUGUUCUGCCAAGGGCAUAGCUGGGUAGCUAUGUGCGGAAGGGAUAAGUGCUGAAAGCAUCUAAGCAUGAAGCCCCCCUCAAGAUGAGAUUUCCCAUAGCGUAAGCUAGUAAGAUCCCUGAAAGAUGAUCAGGUUGAUAGGUUCGAGGUGGAAGCAUGGUGACAUGUGGAGCUGACGAAUACUAAUAGAUCGAGGACUUAACCAU